AUUGAACGCUGGCGGCAUGCCUUACACAUGCAAGUCGAACGGUAACGGGCCUUCGGGUGCCGACGAGUGGCGAACGGGUGAGUAAUACAUCGGAACGUGCCCGAUCCUGGGGGAUAACGAGGCGAAAGCUUUGCUAAUACCGCAUACGAUCUACGGAUGAAAGCCGGGGACCGCAAGGCCUUGCGCGGACGGAGCGGCCGAUGGCAGAUUAGGUAGUUGGUGGGAUAAAAGCUUACCAAGCCGACGAUCUGUAGCUGGUCUGAGAGGAUGAUCAGCCACACUGGGACUGAGACACGGCCCAGACUCCUACGGGAGGCAGCAGUGGGGAAUUUUGGGCAAUGGGCGCAAGCCUGAUCCAGCCAUGCCGCGUGCAGGAUGAAGGCCUUCGGGUUGUAAACUGCUUUUGUACGGAACGAAAAGCCUUCUUUUAAUACAGGAGGGUCAUGACGGUACCGUAAGAAUAAGCACCGGCUAACUACGUG
rnacentral:rRNA from 1 species